UCCCCGAUAGCUCAGUUGGUAGUAGCACCUGACUGUUAAUCAGGGUGUCGUAGGUUCGAGUCCUACUCGGGGAGCCA
rnacentral:tRNA from 1 species